rnacentral:rRNA from 1 species
GAUGAACGCUGGCGGCGUGCCUAACACAUGCAAGUCGAGCGAUUCUCUUCGGAGAAGAGCGGCGGACGGGCGAGUAACGCGUGGGUAACCUGCCCUGUACACACGAAUAACAUACCGAAAGGUAUGCUAAUACGAGAUAAUAUACUUUUAUCGCAUGGUAGAAGUAUCAAAGCUCCGGCGGUACAGGAUGGACCCGCGUCUGAUUAGCUAGUUGGUAAGGUAACGGCUUACCAAGGCGACGAUCAGUAGCCGACCUGAGAGGGUGAUCGGCCACAUUGGAACUGAGACACGGUCCAAACUCCUACGGGAGGCAGCAGUGGGGAAUAUUGCACAAUGGGCGAAAGCCUGAUGCAGCAACGCCGCGUGAGCGAUGAAGGCCUUCGGGUCGUAAAGCUCUGUCCUCAAGGAAGAUAAUGACGGUACUUGAGGAGGAAGCCCCGGCUAACUACGUGCCAGCCGCCGCCGUAACAC